rnacentral:rRNA from 1 species
CCCUGGCUCAGGACGAACGCUGGCGGCGUGCCUAAUACAUGCAAGUCGAGCGGAAUGAUGAAGAAGCUUGCUUCUUCUGAUUUUAGCGGCGGACGGGUGAGUAACACGUGGGCAACCUACCUUGUAGAUUGGGAUAACUCCGGGAAACCGGGGCUAAUACCGAAUAAUCCAUUUUGCUUCAUGGCAAGAUGUUGAAAGGCGGCUUCGGCUGUCACUACGAGAUGGGCCCGCGGCGUAUUAGCUAGUUGGUAGGGUAAUGGCCUACCAAGGCGACGAUACGUAGCCGACCUGAGAGGGUGAUCGGCCACACUGGGACUGAGACACGGCCCAGACUCCUACGGGAGGCAGCAGUAGGGAAUCUUCCACAAUGGACGAAAGUCUGAUGGAGCAACGCCGCGUGAGUGAAGAAGGUUUUCGGAUCGUAAAACUCUGUUGUAAGGGAAGAACACGUACGAGAGUAACUGCUCGUACCUUGACGGUACCUUAUAGAAAGCCACGGC